GUAGGUGAACCUGCGGAGGGAUCAUUACCGAGUGAGGGCCCCAGGCCCGACCUCCAACCCUUUGUUGACCAAGACCUGUUGCCUCGGGGGCGACCCGGACGCCGACGCGUCGGCCGUCGGGCACCCCGAUGGACCAUUCCAACUCUGUAUCCAUACGUCGGAGUACUUGAUGAAUCAAUCAAAACUUUCAACAACGGAUCUCUUGGUUCUG
rnacentral:misc_RNA from 1 species